AACGAACGCUGGCGGCAGGCCUAACACAUGCAAGUCGAGCGCCCUUUCGGGGGAGCGGCGAACGGGUGAGUAACGCGUGGGAAUAUGCCCUUCUCUACGGAAUAGCCUCGGGAAACUGAGAGUAAUACCGUAUACGCCCUGUGGGGGAAAGAUUUAUCGGGGAAGGAUUAGCCCGCGUUGGAUUAGGUAGUUGGUGGGGUAAUGGCCUACCAAGCCGACGAUCCAUAGCUGGUUUGAGAGGAUGAUCAGCCACACUGGGACUGAGACACGGCCCAGACUCCUACGGGAGGCAGCAGUGGGGAAUCUUAGACAAUGGGGGCAACCCUGAUCUAGCCAUGCCGCGUGAGUGAUGAAGGCCUUAGGGUUGUAAAGCUCUUUCAGCUGGGAAGAUAAUGACGGUACCAGCAGAAGAAGCCCCGGCUAACUCCGUG
rnacentral:rRNA from 1 species